UACGGAGGGGGCUAGCGUUGUUCGGAAUUACUGGGCGUAAAGCGCGCGUAGGCGGAUCUGCAAGUCGGGGGUGAAAUCCCGAGGCUCAACCUCGGAACUGCCUUCGAUACUGCGGGUCUCGAGUCCGGGAGAGGUGAGUGGAAUUCCUAGUGUAGAGGUGAAAUGCGUAGAUAUCGGGAGGAACACCUGUGGCGAAAGCGGCUCACUGGACCACAACUGACGCUGAGGCGCGAAAGCUAGGGGAGCAAACAGG
rnacentral:rRNA from 1 species